GAAAUGCGAUACGUAAUGCGAAUUGCAGAAUUCAGUGAAUCAUCAAAUCUUUGAACGCAAAUUGCACUCUCGGGUAUCCCCGGGAGUACGCUUCUUUCAGUAUCGGUUCUAUCCAAUCUCGUCUGCGUACUUAUUUAUAAGUGCUGGACGGAAACUGAGCGCCACACAUCCGAACAGAAGUGUGAUGCUUGAAAGAUAGAAGAAGGCUGUGCCUUAUCCGUUCCUACGCUCCUGGUUACGACCUGAGUGACGUGGUUAAGCUCGCCUCUGGCGAUCUCCACCGUCAAACAAUCUUAGGUUGUGACCUGUAGGUCAAUUGGAGAAGUGCGCUUUCAUUCUUUUGGAUUAAUACCCAAAAAAAAAAAUCAGAUCUGAAAUGAAGUGAGAGUACCCGCUGAAC
rnacentral:misc_RNA from 1 species